GGCUCGGUAGGCAACUGGCAGACCACUUUGGCUCAAACCCAAAGAUGCUGUGGGUUCGAAUCCCACCUGAGCUA
rnacentral:tRNA from 1 species